UGGGUGACGAGCGGCGGACGGGUGAGUAAUGUCUGGGAAACUGCCUGAUGGAGGGGGAUAACUACUGGAAACGGUAGCUAAUACCGCAUAACGUCGCAAGACCAAAGAGGGGGACCUUCGGGCCUCUUGCCAUCAGAUGUGCCCAGAUGGGAUUAGCUAGUAGGUGGGGUAACGGCUCACCUAGGCGACGAUCCCUAGCUGGUCUGAGAGGAUGACCAGCCACACUGGAACUGAGACACGGUCCAGACUCCUACGGGAGGCAGCAGUGGGGAAUAUUGCACAAUGGGCGCAAGCCUGAUGCAGCCAUGCCGCGUGUAUGAAGAAGGCCUUCGGGUUGUAAAGUACUUUCAGCGGGGAGGAAGGUGUUGAGGUUAAUAACCUCGUCAAUUGACGUUACCCGCAGAAGAAGCACCGGCUAACUCCGUGCCAGCAGCCGCGGUAAUACGGAGGGUGCAAGCGUUAAUCGGAAUUACUGGGCGUAAAGCGCACGCAGGCGGUCUGUCAAGUCGGAUGUGAAAUCCCCGGGCUCAACCUGGGAACUGCAUUCGAA
rnacentral:rRNA from 1 species